UACGGAGGAUCCAAGCGUUAUCCGGAAUCAUUGGGUUUAAAGGGUCCGUAGGCGGAUAAAUAAGUCAGUGGUGAAAGUCUGCAGCUCAACUGUAGAAUUGCCAUUGAUACUGUUUAUCUUGAGUUAUUAUGAAGUGGUUAGAAUGAGUAGUGUAGCGGUGAAAUGCAUAGAUAUUACUCAGAAUACCGAUUGCGAAGGCAGAUCACUAAUAAUCGACUGACGCUGAUGGACGAAAGCGUAGGUAGCGAACAGG
rnacentral:rRNA from 1 species